UAUACUCGAUUUGGAGAGAGAGAGAUUGUUGUUCAUGCCAAACCUGCAAAAUACAUAAAAAGAGAGAGGCCAAUGGAAGGGAGAAAGGCUGAGUUCCACCAUGACAUUGCCCUCUUACUACUUUUGAUGUGGGUGACUAUCUCAGAGUGCAUCACAGCAGAUUCUUCGGCAAGAGUGGAGUUUCUUCCUGGCUUUGAAGGGGCCCUCCCAUUCGAUUUCUUCUCCGGGUAUAUUAGUGUAGAUGAGGUGAAUGAAUAUAGACUGUUCUACUACCUUAUCAAGUCUGAGAAUAACCCAUCUAAGGAUCCCCUCCUGCUCUGGCUCACCGGUGGCCCUGGAUGCUCAGGUUUCAGUGGUCUCGUCAUCGAAACAGGCCCACUGCGCAUUAAGGUGGAGGAGUAUAAUGGAACUUUGCCAGCUCUUCGGUACAAUCCUUAUUCUUGGACUAAGGUUGCUAACGUAAUAUAUGUGGAUUCACCAAUUGGAACUGGCUUUUCAUAUUCCAAAUCCCCUCCCGACUAUGCCACCAGCGAUUCCAAGACUGUCAAAGAUCUCCAUAAAUUUUUGACCAAUUGGUUCAUUGAAUACCCAGAAUUCUUGUCAAACCCACUGUACAUUGCGGGGGAUUCCUACUCAGGAAUAACAGUCCCAGUCUUAACUUCUGAAAUAGCCAAUGGCAUUGAUUCCGGUUAUCGACCUGUUUUUAAUCUCAAGGGUUACUUGGUGGGCAAUCCAGUCACAGAUGUUGAGUUUGAUUCCCAGGUAGUUCCAUUUGCUCAUGGGAUGGGCCUCAUAUCAGAUGAAUUGUUUGAGGCUACCAAGAUAAGUUGCAAUGGCAAGUAUGCUUUCCCAAAAGGUUCACAGUGUAAUUUAAAUAUGCAAGCUGUACAUGAGUGCCUUUCAAGAAUUAAUACCCCCCACAUUUUGGAGCCAUUAUGCCCUUUUGCUUCUCCAAGGCCAAGAGUAGAAAUAGGAACAGGACUUAGGAGAUGGCUCCAUGAGAAUUCCUCUGGUAUACAUCUCCAGUCAACUCCUAUAUUUUGCAGGACAUAUGGAUAUAUGCUUUCCCAUUAUUGGGCAAACAAUGAGAGGGUUCAAGAGGUGCUCCAUGUGAAGAAGGGAACUGUAAACGAAUGGAAAAGAUGCAACUAUGGUAUCAAUUUUAAAGCAGAUGUUGCAAGUUCUGUUGUUUAUCAUUAUAAUUUGACUAUGAGAGGCUACUCAGCUCUCAUUUAUAGUGGAGAUCAUGAUAGCAGUGUUCCAUUUAUUGGUACUCAAGCUUGGAUAAGAUCUCUUGAGUUCCCGAUCAUAGAUGAUUGGAGAGCUUGGUUGGUUGAUGGCCAAGUUGUAGGCUACACCAGGAAGUACACCAAUAAUUUGACCUUUGCUACUGUCAAGGAGCAAUGCUAGGCCGCUUCACACAUAGGAGAGAAAUUUCGUAGUUGCUGAUCACCAAUAAGAAUGAUGUUGAGUCAAUUUGAGCUUGUGCUCCAGCCAUAUGAUCAAUUUCGAGAGUACAUAAUAAGGUAAGCUUGAGCUCGUGUUCCAGCCAUAUGAUCGCUUUCAAGAGUACAUAAUAAGGUAAGCUCGUUUUCAUUGCUAUAUUAGGCUCCACGCAAACCUCACUAUUUGGAUAAAAGAAAUGGAGGAACACCCACCCUGCUUCACGGCUGCCUUCUACUCUUUAGAACUCAAGAACCUUGAUUAGAAUCAUUUGAGCUUGGAGAUUAGAAAAAGCUCUAAGUCGAGUGAAUUUUUCAGUUGGUCUCCUCACCUUCAACUGAUAUACAUGGAGCUAUCGAAAGAGGAAGUGAAUCUUGGAAAGAAUGUACAAAAGUUUGAACGGACUUUUUUGUUGAAUCUGCACCUUUUCCUGGGUAAUUUGGGAGGAGCCGGGCACACAGCUCCCGAGUAUAAGCCCAAAGAAUGCGUUGCAAUGUUAAAGAGGUGGAUCUCAAAUGAGCCAUUGUAAAUU